rnacentral:lncRNA from 1 species
CUUCUCCAUCCUCUCCUUAUUUCUUCCUCAAUUUCUAUUUAUCCAAAUGAUGUCGAUGGGAUCCCAUCUCAUUCAGACACAGACCCUCGGAAGGGUCCUUGGACACAGUAAGUACUCAACGAGCUUGGCUCUUCUGCAGGCACAUCAGGCCAAACAGAAGAUCAAGGCUCUGCAGGGGUUGAAAGGAUGAAGGGGUAGUGUCAACUGUCUGAUGCCACCCCAGGGUGACCACGAGGCAGGCCAUUCUCUCAGAGCCCCACAAUGUGGGAGGGAACAGUUUGAAGGCCAGGAAGCCAGAAUCAUAGGGGAACAACUGCCAACUCAACUACCUGGCAGAUGUCCUCUGUUACCUGGAAGACUGUGUCCUGUGACAAUACUUCUCUGCUGUCUCACCAAUGUCAUCUGGUCCUUCAGCAAAUUCAGGAGGCAGAGCCUCUAGGCAGAACCAAAGCAGGAAGGCAAAGGAAGUUACCCAGAGUGACCCAGAGAGGAAGCUAGGAAGAUCAUCGGGUGCUUUCUCCAGGACCUCUGAGCAAAUGCUAAGGGACCAUGCUCCAGCUGUGGCCAUAACCUGCUUUGAGGGGUGAAGGAAGCCAGCACUCUGCGGAUGUGGCUGGCAGAUGGUGGUGUGGCCACGUGGCUGGCCUGCACUCAUGAACCAAGGUGCCCAGAGGCAGAAGUGAAAUGGGUUUACUGUGAGAUACAGUGGAGUUGCCACCCUUAUGGCUUCCAUACCUAGGCCCACUAUUGGGUGGCUAGGACACAGAACCACCUAGCACUUUGUGUGCUCUCCAUGGUCCUGAAAGUUUCUCAGCCUCUCCAGGCCUCAGCUUUGACACCUGUAAGUUGGGGAUUUUAAGACAGCAGACCAUUUUAGCACACAGUCCUGGAACCCUUUCAAAUCCAACCCUCUACUGACAUUACCUUCAGAGUUGGAGGUGUGAGCACUCUCUCAGUGUGUCCACUAAUUACCAGAGGCAUCUGUGACUUCACCAAUUUAAAAAAAAAAUUACAGGCUGGACAUGAUGACAGAUACCUGUCGCCCCAGUACCCAGGUUGGACGAAGCAAGAAGCCAGAGGGCCAUCCUGAGCUAAAACAGUGAGACCUUGUCUCAAAAAUCAGACAAAUAAAAAGAAAUCACAAAGAGGCAGGUUUUUCUGGCCCACGUUUUCCUUUUGAUGAGCAAAUCUUUUAAUAAAAUUCCACAGAGAAAGCACU